GAGUUUGAUCUUGGCUCAGGAUGAACGCUAGCGGCAGGCCUAAUACAUGCAAGACGAACGGUAAGUGGUGUAGCAAUACAUCACCUAGAGUGUCGUAAGGGUGCGUAACGAGUAUGCAAUCUGCCCUCAACAGGAGGAUAGCUCGCCGAAAGGCGAAUUAACACUCCAUAGGAUGGUAGGGAGGCAUCUCCUAGUCAUUAAAACUACGGUGGUUUCGGAUGAGCAUGCGGAUGAUUAGCUAGUUGGUGAGGUAACGGCUCACCAAGGCGAUGAUCAAUAGGGGAACUGAGAGGUUGAU
rnacentral:rRNA from 1 species